UGGGGAAUUUUGGACAAUGGGCGCAAGCCUGAUCCAGCCAUACCGCGUGAGUGAAGAAGGCCUUCGGGUUGUAAAGCUCUUUCAGACGGAAAGAAACGGUUACGGCUAAUACCCGUGACUAAUGACGGUACCGUAAGAAGAAGCACCGGCUAACUACGUGCCAGCAGCCGCGGUAAUACGUAGGGUGCGAGCGUUAAUCGGAAUUACUGGGCGUAAAGCGUGCGCAGGCGGUUUUGUAAGUCUGAUGUGAAAUCCCCGGGCUCAACCUGGGAAUUGCAUUGGAGACUGCAAGGCUAGAAUCUGGCAGAGGGGGGUAGAAUUCCACGUGUAGCAGUGAAAUGCGUAGAUAUGUGGAGGAACACCGAUGGCGAAGGCAGCCCCCUGGGUCAAGAUUGACGCUCAUGCACGAAAGCGUGGGGAGCAAACAGGAUUAGAUACCCAGGUAGUCCCUGAGCGGGCUGGCAAGGCGCAU
rnacentral:rRNA from 1 species